rnacentral:rRNA from 1 species
GGUUAAGCGACUAAGCGUACACGGUGGAUGCCCUGGCAGUCAGAGGCGAUGAAGGACGUGCUAAUCUGCGAUAAGCGUCGGUAAGGUGAUAUGAACCGUUAUAACCGGCGAUUUCCGAAUGGGGAAACCCAGUGUGAUUCGUCACACUAUCAUUAACUGAAUCCAUAGGUUAAUGAGGCGAACCGGGGGAACUGAAACAUCUAAGUACCCCGAGGAAAAGAAAUCAACCGAGAUUCCCCCAGUAGCGGCGAGCGAACGGGGAGCAGCCCAGAGCCUGAAUCAGUGUGUGUGUUAGUGGAAGCGUCUGGAAAGGCGUGCGAUACAGGGUGACAGCCCCGUACACAAAAAUGCACAUACUGUGAGCUCGAUGAGUAGGGCGGGACACGUGGUAUCCUGUCUGAAUAUGGGGGGACCAUCCUCCAAGGCUAAAUACUCCUGACUGACCGAUAGUGAACCAGUACCGUGAGGGAAAGGCGAAAAGAACCCCGGCGAGGGGAGUGAAAAAGAACCUGAAACCGUGUACGUACAAGCAGUGGGAGCACGCUUAGGCGUGUGACUGCGUACCUUUUGUAUAAUGGGUCAGCGACUUAUAUUCUGUAGCAAGGUUAACCGAAUAGGGGAGCCGAAGGGAAACCGAGUCUUAACUGGGCGUUAAGUUGCAGGGUAUAGACCCGAAACCCGGUGAUCUAGCCAUGGGCAGGUUGAAGGUUGGGUAACACUAACUGGAGGACCGAACCGACUAAUGUUGAAAAAUUAGCGGAUGACUUGUGGCUGGGGGUGAAAGGCCAAUCAAACCGGGAGAUAGCUGGUUCUCCCCGAAAGCUAUUUAGGUAGCGCCUCGUGAAUUCAUCUCCGGGGGUAGAGCACUGUUUCGGCAAGGGGGUCAUCCCGACUUACCAACCCGAUGCAAACUGCGAAUACCGGAGAAU